rnacentral:rRNA from 1 species
AUUGAACGCUGGCGGCAUGCCUUACACAUGCAAGUCGAACGGCAGCGCGGGGCAACCUGGCGGCGAGUGGCGAACGGGUGAGUAAUAUAUCGGAACGUGCCCUGGAGUGGGGGAUAACGCAGCGAAAGUUGCGCUAAUACCGCAUACGAUCUAAGGAUGAAAGCAGGGGACCUUCGGGCCUUGUGCUCCUGGAGCGGCCGAUAUCUGAUUAGCUAGUUGGUGGGGAAAGGCCUACCAAGGCAUCGAUCAGUAGCUGGUCUGAGAGGACGACCAGCCACACUGGAACUGAGACACGGUCCAGACUCCUACGGGAGGCAGCAGUGGGGAAGUUUUGGUACAAUGGGCGCAAGCCUGAUCCAGCAAUGCCGCGUGAGUGAAGAAGGCCUUCGGUU